rnacentral:rRNA from 1 species
UAAGUUUGAGGCCACGAAGUUUUUGGUAGAGACCGGGAUUAGAUACCCCGUUAUUUGAAAAUGUAAAUAUUAGUGUAUGCUUACCCGGGUAGUACGAGCUCAUGCUUAAAACUCAAAGAACUUGGCGGUGUCUUAAAUCUUUUUAGGGGAAUUUGUUCUAUAAUCGAUAAUCCGCGGGUUACCUUACUUUUUUUUGUAUAGACAGCUUGUAUACCGUCGUCGUCAGGUUACUUUUUGAAAAUCUUGAAGUUAGCUAGUAGGUUUAUUAGUUUUAUGGCUAUUAUCCUUUACGUCAGAUCAAGGUGCAGUUAAUGGAGAAGUAGAAAUGAAUUACAAUAAAUUAGUUUUUAUACGGAAUUUUCUUUGAAAAUAGGGGGAUGAAGGUGGACUUAAAAGUAAAUGUGAUAUUAGAAAGAUUUGUUGAAUUUGGCUUUAAGACGUGCACACAUCGCCCGUCGCUCUCGUUGAGAAAUGAGAUAAGUCGUAACAUAGUAAGGGUACCGGAAGGUGUUCUUAGUUGAG